CAGACUGCAAGUUAUGAAGUCUCCACCAAGGGGGGAAAAGUAGCAUCUGAACUGUCGCUGUGAAGAAAUUGUUUGCAGGGUAGGCUGAAGACAAGAAGCAUCUCUUGGCUCUAAUCAGCUACAUCAGCUAAUGACACAGAUUGUAUCAUUUGAGAGACCUGGGAGAACAAGGGGGUGUCACAGAAGACAGCCAUGGGAAUGGAAGAUGAUUUAAAAUAAGCAAUCGGGCUGAAAGAGAAUAUGUUGGUUAUAAAAUAAGUGCAGGAUUAAAAGAGAUGAAUGGGGAAUCAAUUCUUACGGCUCUCUCUUUUGGGUGAUAUUCACUUUUUUUUUUUUCCUUCUGCUCUCACUUGGCAACCUUCAGUUUCUAAAUACGCAUUUUGUUUGUAAUUUUCCAUUAAAAUACUGAUUCAAUUGAA